rnacentral:misc_RNA from 1 species
UUUCCGUAGGUGAACCUGCGGAAGGAUCAUUACAGAGUUCAUGCCCUCACGGGUAGAUCCCCCACCCUUGAAUAUUUAUACCUUAGUUGCUUUGGCAGGCCGUGGAAACACCAUGGGCUCCGGCUUAUGCGUGCCUGCCAGAGGAAACAAACUCUGUUUUUAGUGAUGUCUGAGUACUAUAUAGUAGUUAAAACUUUCAACAACGGAUCUCUUGGUUCUG